UACGUAGGGUGCAAGCGUUGUCCGGAAUUAUUGGGCGUAAAGAGCUCGUAGGCGGUCUGUCGCGUCGGCUGUGAAAACCUGCAGCUUAACUGUGGGCGUGCGGUCGAUACGGGCAUCACUGGAGUUCGGCAGGGGAGACUGGAAUUCCUGGUGUAGCGGUGAAAUGCGCAGAUAUCAGGAGGAACACCAGUGGCGCAGGCGGCGUCCUGGACCGGCACUGACGCUGAGGAGCGAAAGCGUGGGGAGCGAUCCGG
rnacentral:rRNA from 1 species